AUUCGGGCGAGGCGCCGUUGGUCACGCCGCGCACGGUGCGGGCGAAGAAGGCGGGGCAGCCGUCGACAUCGUCGGUGCGCACGUCCGGCCCCGGACCC
rnacentral:tRNA from 1 species